GGCGACCGCGACUCCCUCGACUCCAGCUUCUCCGACGCAGGCGGAUUUUUGCACCAACAAGAUUUGCACUAGAGGAAGGGUCCUGAACCUUCGUGGUACCCUUGUUCUUAAAGGAGCGCUCAAUAGGACUGCCUCUGGUCAUCUUCUCCGACAUCCACUCUCCUUCCCCCACUAGAUCCUCGCCCGAUGCCUUCUCGCGAAGCAUCCACACGGCGACCCACGGC
rnacentral:lncRNA from 1 species